GGACUUUAAAUAAUAUACUAAUGAGUAUUUGUGCAUAAGAAGAGUAGUUGCAGUGUGAGCAGGUGCACAUCAAAAGCAGAGAGCCCACAUGCGACCAUGACCAGAUCAGUGGAUGAGAUUUGAUCAUAUAUAUUUCAUGCAUCCGAAUCUUAGGCACGGUCGGUUGAGCUUCCAUGUCCACAGAUGUCAGAUGGAUGCAUCCCUC
rnacentral:lncRNA from 1 species